rnacentral:tRNA from 1 species
GCCGGCUUAGCUCAGUUGGCAGAGCACCUGAUUUGUAAUCAGGGGGUCGGGGGUUCGAGGCCCUCAGCCGGCACCA